GUCGGGCUAGCUACCACAGAAUCCCUGGUAUGCCAAGCCUAACUCUGUUUAGUCAUUCUAUUCAGCAUAUCUGAAGUAUCUUGAAAAGAAAGGUCAAUGAACGAACCACCUGCAACAUUAUCUAUAAUUGGCUUUGUCACAGAGUUAAAAGCACUGUACAAAGUCUCCAUCAAGUGCAAGUCUAUCAUGUUAUGGUUCGAACAUUGUGCCAUCUUCUUCUUGAAUCUCUCCCAA
rnacentral:lncRNA from 1 species